AUGACCCCUUUGUUCCUUGGAGGCAAGCCUUCCACAUCAAGCAGACUGGGGCUGCCGUACCAAGCCAUCAGCGAGCCCCCAUUGGUCACUGACUUAUGGUUUGAUCUUAGGCCACCCCUCGGCCCACUUUCUGGCUCGCCAAGUAGGCAUAAAGAUUCCCCAAGGCUCCAUCUUCAAGGUGACCCUGUUUUCUGUAGGUACUCAUUUCCUCCUACCAGUCUGAAGAUCUUCAAUGGGUCCCCCCAUUCCUUGGGAUCGUAGGAUGUUGGGCCCCUGUCCUGCCACCUCCCGAACUAGCAAUAGCUUCCCAGCUUACCGCAAGUGCUCUGUCUUCCU
rnacentral:lncRNA from 1 species